GAUGAACGCUGGCGGCGUGCCUAACACAUGCAAGUCGAGCGAAGCACUUUGCUUAGAUUCUUCGGAUGAAGAGGAUUGUGACUGAGCGGCGGACGGGUGAGUAACGCGUGGGUAACCUGCCUCAUACAGGGGGAUAACAGUUAGAAAUGACUGCUAAUACCGCAUAAGACCACAGCACCGCAUGGUGCGGGGGUAAAAACUCCGGUGGUAUGAGAUGGACCCGCGUCUGAUUAGCUAGUUGGUAAGGUAACGGCUUACCAAGGCGACGAUCAGUAGCCGACCUGAGAGGGUGACCGGCCACAUUGGGACUGAGACACGGCCCAAACUCCUACGGGAGGCAGCAGUGGGGAAUAUUGCACAAUGGGGGAAACCCUGAUGCAGCGACGCCGCGUGAGCGAAGAGGUAUUUCGGUAUGUAAAGCUCUAUCAGCAGGGAAGAAAAUGACGGUACCUGACUAAGAAGCACCGGCUAAAUACGUGCCAGCAGCCGCGGUAAUACGUAUGGUGCAAGCGUUAUCCGGAUUUACUGGGUGUAAAGGGAGCGUAGACGGAUGGGCAAGUCUGAUGUGAAAACCCGGGGCUCAACCCCGGGACUGCAUUGGAAACUGUUCAUCUAGAGUGCUGGAGAGGUAAGUGGAAUUCCUAGUGUAGCGGUGAAAUGCGUAGAUAUUAGGAGGAACACCAGUGGCGAAGGCGGCUUACUGGACAGUAACUGACGUUGAGGCUCGAAAGCGUGGGGAGCAAACAGGAUUAGAUACCCUGGUAGUCCACGCCGUAAACGA
rnacentral:rRNA from 1 species